UUACACACUAUCAGUUAGUAGAAGUAGAGCUGACAGGUGUUGGUGUGUGUGUUGUUACACACUAUCAGUUGGUAGAAGUAGAGCUGACAGGUGUUGGUGUGUGUGUGUUGUUACACACUAUCAGUUAGUAGAAGUAGAGCUGACAGGUGUUGGUGUGUGUGUUGUUACACACUAUCAGUUGGUAGAAGUAGAGCUGACAGGUGUUGGUGUGUGUGUUGUUACACACUAUCAGUUGGUAGAAGUAGAGCUGACAGGUGUUGGUGUGUGUGUUGUUACACACUAUCAGUUGGUAGAAGUAGAGCUGACAGGUGUUGGUGUGUGUGUUGUUACACACUAUCAGUUAGUAGAAGUAGAGCUGACAGGUGUUGGUGUGUGUGUUGUUACACACUAUCAGUUAGUAGAAGUAGAGCUGACAGGUGUUGGUGUGUGUGUUGUUACACACUAUCAGUUAGUAGAAGUAGAGCUGACAGGUGUUGGUGUGUGUGUUGUUACACACUAUCAGUUGGUAGAAGUAGAGCUGACAGGUGUUGGUGUGUGUGUUGUUACACACUAUCAGUUGGUAGAAGUAGAGCUGACAGGUGUUGGUGUUGGUGUGUGUGUUGUUACACACUAUCAGUUGGUAGAAGUAGAGCUGACAGGUGUUGGUGUGUGUGUUGUUACACACUAUCAGUUAGUAGAAGUAGAGCUGACAGGUGUUGGUGUGUGUGUUGUUACACACUAUCAGUUGGUAGAAGUAGAGCUGACAGGUGUUGGUGUGUGUGUGUUGUUACACACUAUCAGUUAGUAGAAGUAGAGCUGACAGGUGUUGGUGUGUGUGUUG